UACGUGGGACCCAAGCGUUAUCCGGAAUUACUGGGCGUAAAGAGUUGCGUAGGUGGCAAUGUAAGUGAAUAGUGAAAUCCUGGGGCUCAACCCCUUCAACAUUAUCCAAACUGCAUAGCUUGAGUAUGGGAGAGGUAGAUGGAAUUUCUAGUGUAGGAGUGAAAUCCGUAGAUAUUAGAAGGAACACCGAUGGCGUAAGCAGUCUACUGGCCCAUUACUGACACUAAGGCACGAAAGCGUGGGGAGCGAACGGG
rnacentral:rRNA from 1 species